GUGCGUGGCGUGUCCGCUGGACCAGGGGACGGGGGCGCGCCGCAGGUGUAGGAGCUUUGCGCGCCUACCUGGCGGUCGUGGGUCGAGGAGGGGUCAAGAAUUGUUGUCUAGCAGCCCUCUCCCCGCUGCCCUGUCCUGGCCGAGGCAAAGGCCGCGUGCGCUCCGCGUCUGCCAGGCUUUAGGGCUGCGCGGACACUGGGUGGGUGGUGGGCCGAGGCGACCGGAAGGUCCUGGCCGCCUUUCCGGUCUCCUCAGCACCCUGGAGCGCCGCCCUCGGGUUUCGGUCUCCUGGAUCUGCGGGUCGGUCUCGGCGGGCGGAUUACUCCUCGCCCACAACCUCGAGGCCCCGGGGUCAACCGCGCCCUCCGGGCCGGCAACCCAGGGUUUAGUCAGAUUCCUCCUGACCCACCGCUUCUGGGAAAGAGGCGCCUCCCGUCAGGAGGAUGCUGAGUUCCUCAUGACUGGACCAGUGAGUGUCCACUCCCUGGUCCCUGGCGAGAGAGGCGGGACCCCCACGCCCUCCUGGCGCUCUUUGCAGAGAUGUUCCUCAGGCCCAAUCCGGGAUUUGGGAUGUCUGUGCGUGCUGUGGAGCAGAGAGUUUGCAACAUGGUCUCACUUUGUCACCCAGGCUGGAAUGCAUUGGCAUGAACACGUCUCACUGCAGCCUCAACCUCCCAGGCUGAAGUGACCCUCCAACUCUGCUUUCACAGUAGCUGUGAUAUGGUUUGGCUGUGUCCCCACCCACAUCUCAUCUUAAAACCCAGUGGGAGGUAAUUGAAUCAUGGGGGCAAGUCUUUCCUGUGCUGUUCUUGUGAUAGUGAAUAAGUCUCAUGAGAUCUGAUGGUUUUUAAAAGAGUUCUGGCUGGGCAUGGUGGUGGGCACCUGUAAUCCAAACUACUAGGGAGGCUGAGGCAGAGUGAAUUGCUUGAACCUGGGAGAAGGAGGUUGCAGUGAGCCGAGAUUGCACCGCUGCACUCCAGCCUGGGCAAAAUUGAAGACUCUGUCUCCAAAAAAAAAAAAAAGGAGUUCCUCUGCAUAAGCUCUCUCUCUUUGCCUGCUGCCAUCCAUGUAAGAUGUGACUUGCUCUUCCUUGCCCUAUGAUUGUGAGUCUUUCCCCAGCCACGUGGAACUGUAAGUCCAAAUAAACCUCUUUCUUUUGUAAAUUGCCCAGUCUUGGGUAUGUCUAUCAGCAGCAUGGAAAUGGACUAAUACAGUAAAUUGGUACCAGUAGAGUGGGGUGUUGCUGAAAAGAUACCUGAAAAUGUGAAAGUGACUUUGGAACUGGGUAGCAGGCAAACAUUGGAACAGUUUGGAGGGCUCAGAAGAAGACAGGAAAAUGUAGGAAAGUUUGGAACUUCCUAGAGACUUGUUGAAUGGCAUUGACAAAAAUGCUAAUAGUGAUACGAACAAUAAGAUCCAGUCUGAGGUGGUCUCAGAUGGAGAUGAGGAACUUGUUGGGAACUGGAGCAAAGGUGACUCUUGUUAUGUUUUAGCAAAGAGACUGGUGACAUUUUGCCCCUGCCCGAGAGAUUUGUGGAACUUUGAACUUGAGGGAGAUGAUUUAGGGUAUCUGGUGGAAGACAUUUCUUUUUUUUUUUUUGUGACGGAGUCUUGCAUUGUCGCCUGGGGUGGAGUGCAAUGGUCUGAUCUCAGCUUACUGGGUUCAAGCAAUUCUGUCUCAGCCUCCCGAGUAGCUGGGAUUACAGGCGUCCGCCACCACGCCCUUCUAAUUUUUUGUAUUUUUAGUAGAGACGGUUUCACUAUGUUGGCCAGUGGAAGACAUUUCUAAGCAGCAAAGCAUUCAAGAGGUGGCUUGGGUGUUGUUAAAGGCAUUCUGUUUUGACUGGGUGCGGUGGUGCACACCUAUAAUCCCAGCACUUUGGGAGGCCGAGGAGGGUGGAUCAAGAGGUCAGGAGUUCAAGACCAGCCUGGCCAAUAUGGUGAAACCCUGUCUCUACUGGAAAUACAAAAAUUAGCUUGGCAUGGUGGUGUGCGCCUGUAGUCCCAGCUUCUCGGGAGGCUGAGGCAGGAGAAUCGCCUGGACCCGGGAGGUGGAGGUUCCAUUGAGCCAAGAUCAUGCCACUGACUCCAGCCUGGGCAACAGACUGAGACUCUGUCUCAAAAAAAAAGAAAAAAAAAAAGGCAUUCAGUUUUAUAAGGGAAGCAGAGCAUAAAAGUUUGGGAAAUUUGCAGCCUGACAAUGUGAUAGUAAAGAAAAUCCCAUUUUCUGAGAGGAAAUUCAAGCUGGCUGCAAAAAUUUGCAUAAGUACCAAGGAGCCGAAUGUUAAUAUCCAAGACAAUGGGGAAAAUAUCUCCCAGACAUGUCAGAGGUCUUCAUGGCAGCCCCUCCCAUCAACAGGUCCAGAGGCCUAGGAGGAAAAAGUGGUUUUGUGGGCAGCACCCAGGGUCCCCAUGCUAUGUGCAGCCUAGGGACUUGGUGCCGUGCGUCUCAGCUCCUCCAGUGGUGACUGAAAGGGGCCAACAUAGAGCUCGGGCUGCUGCUUCAUGGGGUGGAAGUCCCAAAUCUUGGCAGCUUCCAUGUGGUGUUGAGCCUGCGAGUACAUAGAAGUCAAGAAUUGGGGUUUGGGAACCUCCAUCUAGAUUUCAGAAGAUAUAUGGAAAUUCCUGGAUGCCCAGGCAGAAGUUUGCUGUAGGGGUGGGGCCUUCAUGGAGAACCUCUGCUAGAGCAGUGCAGAAGGGAAAUGUGGGGUCGGAGCCCCCACACAGAGUCCCCGCUGCGGCCCUGCCUGAUGGAGCUGUGAGAAGUGGACCACCGUUCUCCAGACCCCAGAAUGGUAGAUCCACCGACAGCUUGCACCGUGUGCCUGGAAAAGCUGCAGACACUCAAUGCCAGCCUAUGAAAGCAGCCUGGAGGGAGGCUUUACCCUGCAAAGCCACAGAAGUGGAGCUGCCCAAGACCAUGGGAAUCCACCUCUUGCAUCAGUGUGACCUGGAUGUGAGACAUGGAGUCAAAGGAUAUCAUUUUGAAGCUUUAAGAUUUGACUGCCCUGCUGGAUUUCAGACUUGCAUGGGUCCUGUAGCCCCUUUGUUUUGGCCAAUUUCUCCCAUUUGGAAUGGCUAUAUUUACCCAAUGCUUAUACCACCAUUCUAUCUAGGAAGUAAAUAACUUGCUUUUGAUUUUACAAGCUCCGCCUCCCAGGUUCACGCCAUUCUCCUGCCUCAGCCUCCCGUGUAGCAGGCAUUGUCACAGGCGCCUGCCACCACACCCACCUAAUUUUUUUGUAUUUUUAGUAGAGACGGGGUUUCACCGUGUUAGCCAGGGUGGUAUCGAUCUCCUGACCUUGUGAUCCGCCCACCUUGGGCUCCCAAAGUGUUGAGAUUACAGGCGUAAGCCACUGCACCCGGCAAUAAACCUCUUUCUUUUGUAAAUUGCCCAGGUAUGUCUUUAUCAGCAGCAUGAAAAUGGACUCAUACAAUGAUCCAUUACCUAGGGUAAAAUUCUCCUGAAUGUCAAACAGAGAUAAACUACAUUUGGGUUUUGGGUAAGUCCCCUGUAAUGAUGAAUCAAGAAUCCUCAAGUCUGUCUUGCCACCCAUUUAAUACGUAUUUUUGUUAAGGCUGAAGUUUAGAGUUAGAAUCAGGACAUUUUGGCCUAUUGAGAGGUUCUGAAUUCCAACAGAAGAUGCCAUGUAAAUCAGUGAAUUUGAUUCUUUUAAAAGCAACUUACAAAAUUUACAAGAUGUAUUCAAUAAAGCAGUUUAGCUUUGGUAUAUCAAACCUUAUAAUGAACCAUUUUUCCCACUUCAUCUUAUGCAAUGUUUAAUAUUUUCUAUUUUUGUCAAGGAUAUUAAACCUACACCUGGAAACAUAUUAAAUGCCAACUUAAAAUGUGAGAAGUUUGGCAGAACUCAGACCCAUUCUUCCAAUUUCCAAGCUGUUUAAUCACACUGAUUCAGACACUCUGGAUAGCAGCUGGGAUUGUAGUUAUCUUUAUGCUUUGAGCUCUCUAGUUUUGUCUACACAUCUUAUAAAAUAUCCCCUCCUCAUUCUCCUCUAGCUGGAACACUAACCCAAUGGAUGUUGUGGUGAACUUUCUUUGACCAGGCAGAGAAGUGCAGCAUUGGGUGGACCAUGCACAACCAGUUUGAGAAGCACUGCUCUAGGGGUUGGGGGAGCAACAAUAGAAAGAGUGUAGGUUCUGAAUACCUGAAGCAUACAUUUUAGCUCUAGACUGCUUAUAUUGUUGUUACAUGAAAGAGAACUUUUAAUCUGGUUUAAACCACUGGAUCUCUUUAUUCCAGCAAGUGAAUCUAUAUCCAACUAAUAUUUACUCCCAGUCUGUUCUUUCUCACCCCUCUUUCCCUUACUAUAAACCUUUUCUAUAUCAAUUUAUAUCAUUAGUUGCUCAGCCCACAAACCAGAUGUCACUUUUGUUUUCUCUUUUCCUUCCCAUUCAUAGCCAGGCCAUCGUUGUGACUUAUUGGCUGUACCUCCAAAAUAUAUCCCAGAUCUGAUCUCUUCUUAUAAUUUGUACUGCUACAACCUUAGUCAAAGCCACUAAUAUCUCUUAUCUGAACUCCAGUGGUUUACUAGUUUUCUGCCUCUCUUCUUGACACAAUUCAUCUUUCUACAUAGCAGCCAGAGUAAGAUAAAAUCAUAAAUCAGAUCAUAUAACUUCUACCCCCUGUACCAAUGGCUAUCUUUUAUACUCAGAAUAAAAUCCAAAACCUUUAUUUGGCUUCCAAGAUCCUACAAGAUAGAGACCUUACUUCUCAUCUUGUACCCAUCAUUUGAUCUUCAGUCCCUUGAAAAUGCCAAGUCUAUUUCCAUUUCAGGGCCUUUGUGCUUGUUACUAUUGUUUCUUUUCUCUUGGAAAACUGCCCAGAUCUUUCCUUAGCUGAAUUAUUCAGAUCCCAACUCAAAUAUCAUCUCUUUAGAAAAUUCUUUCAGAACCAGGUGUGGUGGUGCACACCUGUAAUCUCAGCUACUCGAGUGGCUGAGGCUGAUGGAUUUCUUGAGCCCAGAAGUCUGAGGCCAGCCUGGGCAAUAUAGCAAGAUCCUGUCAAAAAGAAAAAGGUAUCUCACCAUGAUUAUAUUUUAAUUUCCCUUCAGCAAUUAGAAGUCCCUGAAAUUAAUUUACCUUAUUUGUUGGCAACCUCUGCCUCCUGGGUUCAAGCGAUUCUCCUGCCUCAGCCUCCUGAGUAGCUGGGAUUACAGGCGUGCACCACCACGCCUGGCUAAAUUUUGUAUUUUUAGUAGAGAUGGGGUUUUGCCGUGUUGGUCAGGCUGGUCUCGAACUCCUGACCUCUGAUCUGCCCACCUCGGCCUUCCAGAGUGCUGGGAUUACAGGCAUGAGCCACCAUGGGCCCACAAAGCUAUUUUACUUAGCAUUUUUUUUCCCGAGGCUAAAUUGGGAACUACUGACAAUACUAUUGACAAUACUAAAUAUAUUUUUAAAUUAUUUUACUUAUUUUUGAGACAGGGUCUCACUGUGUCACCCACGCUGUAGUGCAGUGAACCAUCACCACUCACUGCAGUCUCACCCUUCCUGAACUCAGGUGAUCCUCCCACCUCAGCCUCCUGAGUAGCUGGGACUACAGGCAUGCACCACCAUGCCUGGCUAAUUUUUAAAAUUUUUUGUAGAGAUGGAGUUUCGCCAUGUUGCCCAGGCUGGUCUCAAACUUCUGGGUUCAAGUGAUGCAAGUGUCUCAGCCUCCUAAAGUGCUAGGAUUACAGGCGUAAGCCACUAUGCCCAGCCUUUUAUUUUAUUUUAUUUUAUUUAUUUAUUUUUUGAGACAGAGUCUUGUUCUGUUGCCCAGGCUAGAGUGCAGUGGUGCAAUCUCAGCUCACUGCAACCUCUGCCUCCCAGGUUCAAGCGAUUAUCAUGUCUCAGCCUCCCUAGUAGCUGGGAUUACAAGUGUGCACCACACGCGGCUAAUUUUUGUAUUUUUUGUAGAGGCAGAGAGGCAGGGUUUUAUUAUGUUGGCCAAGCUGGUCUUGAACUCCUGGCCUCAAGUGAUCUGCUCACCCCGGCCUCCCAAAGUGCUGAGAUUACAGGUGUGAGCCACCAUGCCCACCAACCUAUUUUUUAUUUUAAAAAAUUGACAGCAUACUAAAUGUUUGUAAUGCAAAUGAUAAAAUUGCUACAAUGAAAACAAGAAGUUGAGAAUUAGAUGAAGAGUUGAUUAAGGGAACUAUGAGUCACUGUGUUAGAGCAUGUAUAUUAUGAAAAUUAUAGCAGAAGUGAUAAAGGGUGACAAUUGUUACCUAUCUUCAAUCAAAAGCUCUUUGAAUAUCUUUCUUUUUUUUAAUUUUAUGAAUUUUUUUUACAGAGACAGGGUCUCACUAUAUUGCCCAGGUUGGUCUCGAACUCCUGGGCUCAAGGGAUCCUCUUGCCUUGGCCUCACAAAGUACCUGGAUUACAGGCAUGAGCCACAGUGCCUGGCCCUCUUUGAAUAUCUUUAAUGCUUUUAGAGAUUAGCAUCAGAGAAUUAUUAAUACUAGAGGGCACAAGGAAUUAGCCAUUGCCAGUGGACACCUACAUAGGUGUGACUAUGUGACUCAGUUUUAAAAAUGUGACACAAUGAAAAAAUUCCUUGGAUGUUAUGGAGGACGAAAAUUUUGUAAGUCCUAUCCAUUCUUUAAUGGAGAAACUAAAAUUUACAAUAUUACUUUAUUUAGCCCAAGAUUUUCUUAAGCUUUGUAUUUUCUAAUUCAGCUUUGGCUUACAGAAUCAUGCUUGAAGUUUGAGACUGCCAGCUUUCAACAGGCAGUUACUAGUGAAACUCUUUGGAAAGAUGAGAAGAUGUUGACAUAAGUGUAAUGUGAGACAAAGCAAAGUAAAAUGUAAUUUUUAAGAAAAUGUUGCCGGGUGUGAUGGUGGCUCAUGUUGCUGUUGGUUGCUAUGGGAGUGAACGAAGGGGGACGAAUGCAGAAAUGAAGACAAAGACAAAAAGAGUAUUUUUGGAAGAAGGGGUCAGGGGACUCCUUGCUUCUAGUGGGCAAGGGCCCUGAGCUUCUACAGCCCUUCAUAUUUAUUAGGUAGAAAGAGCAGGGAGGGAGAGGUAACAGUUGGUCAGCUGCUUGAUUUAUCACAGGUACACAUAAUUGCUUCCUUUGUACAACAGGCUUCAGAUGUUACUAUAGAUAAUCACAAGGAACACUGCGCUUGGGGCAUGACUGCCCUCAGCAACCCUUCUGGCGGCAGACACAGUUGUUAGUUUUCCAACAUCCUGCUUUCAUGAGAACAGUUUUCUGUUUGCUCAUAUAGCCUUCAGUGGUAUACUGAGUUGGUCACGACCUUCAUUCUUUCGGCCUGUAACAUCUCCCCAUUUUUGUUUUUGCAUUAAUUGAAUAAAGGUAAUUGCAGGUUGUGCAGCUCUCAAUUGCCGUUUGGUGGUCCAGCUGAUUUUGCAGACUGUUAACAAAAAACAAAAAUAUAAUAACAUUAAUCCCAUAGUUACAAAAAAGACAUUGAGAUGCUAUUUGAAGUAGGUCCCAGGGUUAAGGCUGUCUAAACCUUGCUGGAAUUCUGCCCAAGCUUUUAAAGAGGGCUGAAACGCUUGAGUCUGCUUAUUCAAGUUAAGGAUUUUACUUUGUAAAUCAUUAAUAUCAAAAGUAACAUUGAAUGUGAAAGCUCCCUGUAAAUGGGCUUUUACAAGGCUCAAUGGAUAUUCACUUUGGUUAUAUACCAAAUUGGUCACACAAAUAUGAGUAUGAUUAAAAUGACAACGCAUUGCUGCUGCAACUGCAAACUUUGUACUUGUUCCCCUAGCCAUAGAACAGUAGUCUUUAACAUUGCCACCUCUGUUUGUAUUUCGGUGUUAAUUUUAUUUUGAAGCAUCCAUGCCUGGUCGACUGUGCAUGUCCAGUUUUCCACAUAUUGAGCUGUUUGAAUGGAGCUGUGCGUUGCUGCUGAGGACAACACAACAGAGGUUAUUAAUGUAACUAAGGAGACUAUAACAAAAAUUAUCAUGCCUAAGGCUCUAUGAGCACGAUGAGUAAGCGGAGUAAAAAGGAGUUUCAUAAGAUGUAAAGCGGGGGUGGCUGCCCAAGGCUAAGAUAAAUUUACAGGAAUUCAUAAUCCAGGAACAUGACCUAGAAUUGUUAGGGUGGAUAUGUCAUGUGUUUGUAUUGUGCUAUGAUUAAGGCAAUGAUACAGUUGACAGGAAUCACAAGUCAAUUGGGCAUCAUCUACCUGGAGGUGGGUUUUUUUUGCUGCUAAGAAAAUAUAAGGAUUAAAAACAAAUUGUAAAUUGAGUGGUAAUAUUUUCUACAAGGGUAACAUUAAAACUGUGUUUAGCACAAUUACUAUUAUUGGAUAGUGUCCCAAUCCAAAUGCUGCCAUUCAUAAAUGGGAGUGCUGCUUUCCAUAUUGACUCCUGAAUUGGACCUCUCUUUCCUUGAUAAUGCCAUUGAGGCAAAGGUGAGCUAAAGCAUGUGCUGUGUCAAGCAAUUUGGGCAGCAGAUUGAGAUUGAAUUGCAAUGUGAUGUAGUGGGAGAUGUUAAAGUUUUGCCACCAGUUCCAGCAAAGUUAAUGCCAUGAGGUCUGAUGCUCAUGUCUCCCAACCAAAUGACCAUGGGGACCCCAGUAAAUAAUGUCUCCCAUUAGCAUGGACUGUUGUCUAGCUAGGGAGCUAAGACACGGGGUCCAAGGAGGGGGGUUAGAAUUAUCAAAGGGAGCCCAUUCUAUAUAAUUAAUACAAUUUGGGUGAUGGGGCCGGGAGUGAUUAGUAACUACACCAGUAAUAUUAGUAGAACUAAGGCCCAAUAGGUACGUAAAUUUUCCAUGGUAACUCAACCAUGCCUGGGAUUGAAUUGCAAGGCAACUGCAGUUGAGCAGUGUAUCCUGGGUGAUGCAUAAAGAAAGGCCCUCCAAUGGAGUGGUAUAAUUGAUACCAUUGUUCUGAGAGUCUAAUUGCUCUGUGUCAGGGGGAGUUAAGGGUCCCGGUGCCCAUGCUCCUUGAUCAUGAUAUAUCUCAGGAGGAGUGUCACCCCGGUCAUACUACCGGGGGGUUAGGAACAUAAGCCCAAUAUGUUUUUGCCUCUGCACAGGGAAAACAUAGCACACAGGAUAUCAUAGCUAGCAUGGCCAUAAACAUGGAGUCAGGGGUUUUUGCCUGACCCUGAUGCUCCAGCAGUUUCUCAUCUUCUUGUGUGGUUUUCUUGAUCUGUAAAACACAAGCAUACCCUCAUCCCCAUGUCAGUAAAUCUACCAGGCCUUUCCAUUGUCCUUCUUCCAGGGAUUUCCAUAAUACUUUUGGGUAAACUUUCCUUUUUCCCUCUAACAUUUGCCAGUGUCAUUCUACCGGAGUCUUAUUAUCUGUACCAGGAGUUAAAAAAUUUAAAGUAAAUAAUGCUAAAUGUAGUAUUGUUUGAGGUGGUAACUGGUCUCCUAUACCUCCUUUUUGUUUUUUCAGCGCAUGUUGUAAUGUUUGAUGUGCCUGCUCUAUAAUUCCUUGUCCUCGAGGGUUAUAAGGAAUUCUUGUUUUGUGAGUGACUGCCUAUAACUGUAAACAAUUUUGAAAAGCAUGACUAACUUAAGCAGGUCCAUUGUCAGUUUUUAAUUGUUUAGGGACCCUCAUAUCGGCAAAUGACAACAGACAAUGUCAUUGGACAUGGCCAGCUGUUUCACCUGUUUGACAUGUAGCAUGCAGCAUAUGAGAAUAAGUGUCUAUAGUCAUAUGAACAUAGCUAAGUUUGUCAAAGGCUGCUAUAUGUGUAACAUCAAUUUGCCAGAUUUCAUUUGGAGCUAAGCCUCGUGGGUUACAUCCUUCUACCGGUAUAACACCAGGGACAUGCUGACAAGUGGGGCAGGCUUGCACAAUAGCUCGAGCCUGGCUUCGAGGCAGAUGAAACAUACAAGUAAGGGCAGAGGUGUUUUGAUGCAGUAAUGCAUGAGAGGCUUCAGCUUGCUGAAACACAGAACCAAUCAAUUUAUCUGCUCUAUCAUUACCUAGAGGUAGUGGUCCAGGAAGUUGUGUGUCAGAGCGAAUAUGAGAAAUUUGAAAAGGAGCAGCAUGAGAGCAAACAGCUCGCUGAAGUCUUAGAAACAAGUUAAACAGCUCUGGUUCUAGGGUGCUUUUAAUAGUAGCAGUCUCAAUGCGACUGGCUACAUUUACAACAUAGGCUAAAUCACAGACAAUAUUAAUAGGAGAGGAAGCAGUGAGCUGUAAAACCUGAAUAACUGCCAUUAAUUCUGAGCAUUGAGCUGAAACACCAGGGAUUUUUAUUGUUUUAAUAUGCUUAGGUCCAUAAAUAGAUGCUCAGACUUUGGAAGAGCCGUCAGUGAAAUAAGUCUGGCCACCUGGAAUAGGCUUGUGAUGAGUAAUCACAGGGAGGAUAAAAGGGUAAACUUUAUAAAAUUGCAAAACUUUGUCUGAUGGAUAAUGAUUAUCUAUUAUUCCUUUGCUUCAGCCAACAUCGUAGAGCGAUGAAGCUCAGUUCCCACAUCCUGACAAGCUUUGAUAAAAUUUCCUAAGCUUUUUAUACAUCUCACAGAUGCCAAUGCAUGUUUACAGUCCGUGUUUGCAUUCUCAAAAGCUAGUUAAGGUUAGCAUUUCUGUAGCCAUGGUAAGAGAAAUCUGACACUUCACUGCCUAUGGUAAUCUUGCAAGAAAAUGUGCAUAGAGCUCCUGUGACCCUUUCAUGAUAUGUAAGAGAUUGUACUGGGACCCUUUCCUCUGGAAUUGUGGCCCAGGUGCGUUUAACAGCCAAGGCACACUGCUUACAAGCAGCGUCUGGGAGUGCUAUUUGAUGUUCUAGGUCUGAAUAGGGGCCACUGCCUAACAGCAUCCUCUGUAAUGUCUCUGUGUCCAGCAGCACGAUUCUAUCUAGCCUGGUCUGCACACAGUUCUUGCCAAUUUAAAUACCAUAUCAGGUAUGCACUAGCAGACAAACAAGUGCAAGCCAAAUGCUUUACAUCAAAGGGUGGAAGGCGCAUAGCGCCAAAUAGAUUCUAGCAGUCCUAAAGUAAAUGGGCUUUGUAUUCCAUUAUUAACUACACUAGCUUUUAAUUCCUUCAGCAACUUAAAUUCUAGUGGGGUGUGUUCAUGAAUAAACUGCUGUGGAUUAUGUGGAUCAGGCCUUACGGAAAUAGGAAAAGCUCAAGGUCCUAAGGGUUCUCCAGCCAUAGCAGUAGAGUGUAAAGUUCUUUGUAUUGGGGUCUCUAUUUCUGCUACUGAAGGAGGCGGUUCAGAUGUUUCUGCUACUAGAGGGGGUGACACAGGCCAAUUUUCAUCCUCCUGCUCCUGUUUAUUAUUUUUAAUUGGCGCUGUUGAGAGAACAGAAAGAUUCUUUCAAAUUUUUUGACUCUGAACAUGACUCCUGCUGUCUAGCAGAAUAAGAAAUGAAUAAUGGCAGGAUGAACUAAACUCCAAAUAUAAAAAAGAAAAUAGCCAAAUUCUUCCCCCAUGUUACCCUGAUUCAGAAACUUCCCGUUCCCAGUACCUCUUUAGGGCACUGACCUUAUAUUAGCUGUCAGCAGACUCGUCGCAGGGUUUCUCAUUCUCGUUCUUCUUGUCAGUGUCAGUUUCUCUGCUCCAGCAGACCUUCACUCACGUCCCUGUCCUAGGUGCCAGUUGUCGCUGUUGGUUGUUAUGGGAGUGAACGAAGGGGGAUGAAUGCAGAAACGAAGACAAAGACAAAAAGUAUUUUUGGAAGAAGGGGUCAGGGGGCUCCUUCUAGUGAGCAAGGGCCCUGAGCUUCUACAGCCCUUCGUAUUUAUUAGGUAGAAAGAGCAGGGAGGGAGAGGUAGCAGUUGGUCAGUUGCUUGAUUUAUCACAGGUAUACAUAAUUGCUUUCUUUGUACAACAGGCUUCAGAUGUUCCUAUAGAUAAUCACAAGGAACACUGUGCUUGGGGUGUGACUGCCCUCAGCAACCCUUCUGGCAGCAGACACAGUUGUUAGUUUUCCAACAUCCUGCUUUCAUGAGAACAGUUUUCUAUUUGCUCAUAUAGCCUCCAGUGGUAUACUGAGUUGGUCACGACCCUCAUUCUUUCGGCCUGUAACAGGCUCAUGCCUGUAAUGCCAGCACUUUUGGAGGCCGAGGCAAGAGGAUAGCUUGAGCUCAGGAGUUGGAGACCAGCCUGGGCAACACGGUGAAACCCCAUCUCUGCAAAAAUUAGCCUGGUGUGGUGGGGUGCGCCUGUAGUCUCAGCUGCUUGUGGGGCUGAGGCGGGAGAAUAGCUUGAGCUCCAGGGGUCGAGGCUGCAGUGAGCCAUAAUGGUGCUGCUGCAUUCCAGCCUGGGUGACAAAGUGAGACUAUCUCAAAAAAAAAAACGGCUGUUAGAUAAAAAUGAAGACAAACAACAUUUGCAAGGAUAUAAAUCUUAACCCAUUUAUUGGGGGUAUAGGCUCUGGUGUCAGAUUUCCAUCUGUCCUGUAUUUUGUAACCACAAAAUUGUCCUGGCUGGAUUAAUUGUAAGGAAGUCCCUUUAAACACAUCUAGACUUCCAAAGUUUGUUUACAUACUAAUUAGUUGUCAUGAAAAGCUGCAUUCAACCCAGGGUCUGAGAUGCCUUUUGUAUAUGAAAAGUGCUUCUCUUUCUGACACUGACUGAAUUACAUACAUAACAGAUUCAUUUAUUUAAAAACAAUUUAAGAGGCUUUUUCUAUAAUGCUGAACCUGCUGUGUGGUAUUUAUGUUUAAUUCUGGUCAAAUUUUCAAAACUAAUAAACACUGCAAUUCAAAACCAUUAAUUAUCAAGCAUAGACCAAGUAUCUGAGGUUAUGAGCACAUAUUUAAGAGGUUAGACUCUGGCAUUCCAGACAUUGCAAAUAAUACUUUUCUCAUUUCUAAAUUUCCUAGAAACAAGUGGAGAUUUGUAAAAGGAAAUAAUACUCUUUAAAACAUUUAUUUUUGACUCAGGAUCUGGCUCUGUUGCCCUAGCUAGAGUGCAGUGGUGCCAUCAUCACAGCUCACACAAUAGCCUGGAACUACUGGGCUCAAACCAUCCUCCCACCUCAGCCUCCCAAGUAGCUGGGACUGCAGAUGCAGGCCAUCAUGUCCCGCUAAGUUUUAUUUUAUUUUUGUAGAGACAGAGUCUAUGUUGCUCAGGCUGGUCCUGAACUCCCGGCAUCAAGUGAUCCUCCCACCUCCCAAUAAAACAUGUACUGAUGGCCAGGCACUUGGCUCACGCCUGUAAUCCCAGCACUUUGGGAGGCCGAGGCGGGCAGAUCAUGAGGUCAAGAGAUCAAGACCAUUCUGGCCAACAUGGUGAAACCCUGUCUCUACUAAAAAUACAAAAAUUAGCCAGGUGUGGUGGCACGCGCCGGUAGUCUCAGCUACUCCGGAGGCCGAGGCAGGAUAAUUGCUUGAACCCCAGAGGCGGAGGUUGCAGUGAGCCGAGAUCGUGCCACUGCACUCCAGCCUGGCGACAGAGCAAGACUCUGUCUCAAAAAAAAAAAAAAAACCAAAAACCAAAAAAUCAAAACCAAAACCAUGUAUUGAUAUCAAAGUUUUUUUAUCCUGGCAGGGCACAGUGGCUCACGCCUGUAAUCCCAGCACUUUGGGAGGCUGAGGCAGGUGGAUCACGAGGUCAGGAGUUCAAGACCAGCCUGGCCAAGAUGGUGAAGACCCGUCUCUACUAAAAAUACAAAAAUUAGCCAGGCGCAGUGGCAGGCGCCUGUAAUCCCAGCUACUCGGGAGGCUGAGGCAGGAGAAUCGUUUGAAACCAGGAGGGUAGAGGUUGCAGUGAGCCAAGAUUGUGCCACUGUACUCCAGCCUGGGUGACAGAGUGAUACUAUGUCUCAAAAAAAAAAAAAAAAAAAAAAGAAAAAGAAAAAAGAAAGAAAGUUGCUUUAUCUUUAAAACUAUAUAUAUUGUUUUCACCCCUACAUAGUCCUUGCCUCCCAGACAUCUCCUCACUAACGUCAGUAGACAAUUUGGCAUCUGAUGGUUUGAAAUAGUUUCUGUAAUCAAAUCCUGAAUAAAAUCCAUUUUAAAGC
rnacentral:lncRNA from 1 species